GACGAACGCUGGCGGCGUGCCUAAUACAUGCAAGUAGAACGCACAGUUUAUACCGUAGCUUGCUACACCAUAGACUGUGAGUUGCGAACGGGUGAGUAACGCGUAGCUAACCUGCCUGGUAGCGGGGGAUAACUAUUGGAAACGAUAGCUAAUACCGCAUAAUAUUCAUUAUUGCAUGAUAAUUAAUUGAAAGGUGCAAUUGCACCACUACCAGAUGGACCUGCGUUGUAUUAGCUAGUAGGUGAGGUAACGGCUCACCUAGGCGAAGAUACAUAGCCGACCUGGGAGGGUGAUCGGCCACCCCGGGACUGGGACACCGCCCAGACUCCUACGGGGGGCAGCAGUAGGGAAUCUUCGGCAAUGGAGGAAGGUCUGACCGAGCAACGCCGCGGGAGUGAAGAAGGUUUUCGGAUCGGAAAGCUCUGUUGUAAGAGAAGAACGGGUGUGAGAGUGGAAAGUUCACACUGUGACGGUAUCUUACCAGAAAGGGACGGCUAACUACGUG
rnacentral:rRNA from 1 species